GACAGAGGGUGCAAACGUUGUUCGGAAUUACUGGGCGUAAAGCGCGUGUAGGCGGCUAAGUAAGUCGGGCGUGAAAUCCCACGGCUCAACCGUGGAAGUGCACUCGAAACUGCAUAGCUAGAGUCCUGGAGAGGAAGGUGGAAUGCUUGGUGUAGAGGUGAAAUUCGUAGAUAUCAAGCGGAACACCAGUGGCGAAGGCGGCUCACUGGCCCGGUACUGACGCUGAGGUGCGAAAGCGUGGGGAGCAAACAGG
rnacentral:rRNA from 1 species